ACGCACGCUGGCGGCAUGCCUAACACAUGCACGUCGAACGAGACCUUCGGGUCUAGUGGCGCACGGGUGCGUAACGCGUGGGAACUUGCCCUUAGGUUCGGAAUAACUCCCCGAAAGGGGUGCUAAUACCGGAUAAUGUCUUCGGACCAAAGAUUUAUCGCCUUUGGAUGGGCCCGCGUUGGAUUAGCUAGUUGGUAGGGUAAAAGCCUACCAAGGCGACGAUCCAUAGCUGGUCUGAGAGGAUGAUCAGCCACACUGGGACUGAGACACGGCCCAGACUCCUACGGGAGGCAGCAGUGGGGAAUAUUGGACAAUGGGCGAAAGCCUGAUCCAGCAAUGCCGCGUGAGUGAUGAAGGCCUUAGGGUUGUAAAGCUCUUUUACCCGGGAUGAUAAUGACAGUACCGGGAGAAUAAGCUCCGGCUAACUCCGUG
rnacentral:rRNA from 1 species